GCCUGGGUGGCUCAGUCGGUUGGGCAUCUGACUUCAGCUCAGGUCACGAUCUCGCAGUCCGUGAGUUCGAGCCCCGCGUCGGGCU
rnacentral:tRNA from 1 species